GAUGAACGCUAGCGGCAGGCCUAAUACAUGCAAGUCGAACGGUGUAGCAAUACACAGUGGCGCACGGGUGCGUAACACGUAUGCAACCUACCUAUUAUUGGGGGAUAGCCUUUGGAAACGGAGAUUAAUACCGCAUAAGACAGUGACAUGGCAUCAUGUAGCUGUUAAAGCUUUGGCGAUAAUAGAUGGGCAUGCGUCCAAUUCGUUAGUUGGGGAGGUAAUGGCUCACCAAGACGAUGAUUGGUAGGGGAUCUGAGAGGAUAAUCCCCCACACUGGCACUGAGAUACGGGCCAGACUCCUACGGGAGGCAGCAGUAGGGAAUAUUGGGCAAUGGACGGAAGUCUGACCCAGCCAUGCCGCGUGCAGGAUGACGGCGUUAUGCGUUGUAAACUGCUUUUUUAUAGGAAGAAGAAGCCAUUGCGAGGGAAAGUGACGGUACUAUAAGAAUAAGCACCGGCUAACUCCGUGCCAGCCGCCGCAGUAACAC
rnacentral:rRNA from 1 species